UUUCCGGGAACAACUGACAUCAACGCACACGCUCCCCUCAGUUUCCUGAAAACUCUUUGUUGCCACUGAGUGUUAGGGCUAGAGUUUUCAGUAUCUCUUUAUAAAUGUAAAUGUGAUAUAGUUUGAUGUUAUUAAAUUGCUUUUUGUUUUAUUUCUUGGGUUUUGCUAUAUGGAUCCAUCGGUGGAUGAUGGACACUCGGCAAUUUGGAAAUGGCGGUGGUAAAGAGAAAGGUUUUUUGGAUUCAGUGGAAGUUUUUCCUAUUUUUGGAUGGAGUUGGUGAUUGCAGUGGAAGGGAAGAGUGUCGCCAAGCGGUGAGCGACGGAUGGAACGAGACGUAUAUGAAAUGUUCUGAGAUGAUGCUCCAAGUGUCCAAAAAGCUCUGUUUUUCGCAACAGAAAAUUUAAUGGAGUUUUACUGUUUCGGGGCGUCCGUCUCUCUCGUGAGUGCUCACCACACACAGACUUUCCCUUUCUCUCUCGGGAAAAGGUUUUGGAGGAGUUUGAGACUUAUCAGAGAUAAGCUCUGGUUUUAAUUUGAAACGCGUAACAGAACCCACUACUGGUCCGGCAUAAAAAUGGGUUUUAAUUAAUUAAACUAAUCUGGAAUCCAUGCCGUGGAUAAUGGGUGACCGUGCUAAAUUGGAUUAUAUGAUCAUAUCCAACGGCCGACCGCCGACCAGUUCUUCCCGGAACCCUUCAGAUGAAGGUGCUACAUGAAUCGGAAAUUCAGAAACAAUGGACCCUUCACCCGCCUGUGAUUAUAUUAUUUGAUUUACAGAGAUCAAAUGCUGUUUAGCGGGAAAAGAAGCAAAAACGUCAAUUUUCCAUCUUUAUAGGCGAAAACGCUUUGAAUGCGAGGAUAGAAAAGAUGUUGAUUCAGGUAACCAUCUGGAGUCUGUGGUUGAGGAGCCGGCUCUCUAUGGAGGUGACCUCUGAGACGAGGAGCUAGUUACGCACGAGGACGGUUGUGUAUGUGAUGAUUGUGCAUUCAGAGCACGUUGAGGAUGAGAGUAUCAUUUUCCUUUUGUUUUCUUUUGUACUUAUUAGAUAUAAGCCCUAGGGGCAUGACUGUAAUUUUGAUUCCGCUGUGAAAACCUUCUUUUGAGUAGAUAUGUUAAAUAUCAUUAGAUAUCACUAGUUGUGUAUAUUUUGAUUUAUUAUUAUCUAUGUGAUUGUAGAAUCAUUUCAUAACUUUACGAACUUAAAGUAUUGCAUCGUGGAUCCUGGAUGAAUUGUGGACACAUGUGCGUGUCCAUGUCACCAGCCUUCGGGUGAGUGGAGGCGGGGUGUGACACUGAUGCUUGACAUUUCUGCACUGAAACCCAUAGUCAUCAAGGUGUUGCUUAGGCACCUAGGUGUCCAGGAGGCUCAGCCUGGACUGGUGCCUUGGUCACCUGGGCCUUGGGUUGCCUUACGCCUUGAUAACCUUGCUAAAACAUUAUCUUGAUUACCCAAAAUUCAAUGCACACGGAUAUACUCGUUGAUCUUUUAAUUGAUUUGUUGUUGCUUAUGGUACUCCUCUGUUGAGCUGAAUACUGCUUUAUAACACUGUUUCUCCAUUCAAAUUGUAGGAGAUUUUGUUGACCGUUGCUGUCUAGUUUCUUACUUCUAGUGAUGCAGCUCAUAUUGGCAUUUUAACAUGGAAAUUCAUCUAAUGGGUGACCUGUUUGGAUAGAAUGUUUAUGAUGUCUUAGUCUACAUCGGCAGUUCUGAAAUUCUUCGAUGCAAAAAUGAUUCUAUAUCUGAUGCUUUGGGUCGAUGAUCAAUAUACCUUCAUUUGCUUCUCUGUUAUCAUUGAUUUAAUGCAACAUACUGAGUCAUGGUAUUUGAUUAAUGAUAAAUUUGAUGUGGUAACUAGUUGAACAUGUUUUGCACUAUCGAUAUUCAUUGUGGUGCUAUAUCAUGAAUUCAUGAUUGUCUCGACUCUUGAAUAAAAUCACGAAGACAAUCAGCUAACAAGUCCAUUAUUUCAUUUAUGAAAAGAGCCCUCAAUGAUUACCUGUUGAAAGGAAAGUCCACUACAUGAAGACAAUUUUAAAGCACUUUUCCUGGCAUUUGAAUAUGUUUCAUCAUGAGCUGAUCUGUACUCUUGAAUCCAGUAGUUGUUGCUUGUUGCCCCGUGUCUGGACAAUAGUUGGCCAUAUUAAAACUUAAAAGUUCCGUUUAUUGCAGCAAGCUAGUCAUCAUCCACUCCUCAACAGCCAUCGUGUGAGACUUUCAACCUCUUCCAUAGUGAUUAUUGGAGCUCUGAACAACUAAUGAAAUCCGAUUCAAAAUUGUGAUAAACAGUUUCUAUAAAUGCUCCCUCCCUCUCUCUCACAACCUCCCACACCACACACACCUAUGUCUUCUAAAGCUACUUUCCAUAUCUUUUAAAGUGACCUUUUUUCUUCAGCUUAUGCUUCUGAGGCCCAUAGUUUAGUUCCUAAUAAAACUAACCUUUAACACAUCAUUUCUUGAAGAACACAUGGAUACUGGGGUUUGUAUUCAUAAUACUCCUCAUGGAGUUGAAUUCUACUUUUCCAACUUCUGGCUUAUUUCUUCUAAAGUGGAAAUAAUUAUUCAAACAAAAAGAGAUGAAGGUAUAUUACAUUAUCCAUGGAGUACUACAUGUGCUGCCACGCUGGUGCCCUUUUGCCAACUGCUCUACUUUCACAAAGAAAAGGACCUAUGGCUUGAUGCAAAUCCCGCCUUUGCAGCAUCCUUGGAGGGAUGGUGAUGCAGGGACAAAGAAGAGGAGAAAGGACUGAUGUCCUCUAUUUCAUAGUUUCACCAAGAUGUUUAGGCAGUUCAGGUCAUGGGGUUUGGAAAUUUAGUUUAUGUAUUUUUUCUAUUCCAAGUCUAAUUUUGAGUCCUAGAAUUAUUAGAAUGAUUCUGUUUCUCAAAUCUAUGUACAGAUUUAUUGGCCAUUGGCCUCCCCACGAAUUUUCAAGUAAUAAAAUUUUGUUUUCUGCAACAGAGAGCUGUGUGGAGUCAUGGCCGACUUGAGUGGACUCUCAAGUACCCCUUGGUGGAUUCCAAGGACUCAGUGAGGUCGAUUCCUUACUUUCCCUCCUUAUUAUUGUAUCUAUUCCUUUAAUUCCAUUUUCUGUUCUUCAAAAUCUUUUUUUCAAUUUCUAGUCUUUUACUGUUAUUAGCGAUACCCUGUUUUAGAACCAGUACUCCUCCAUCAUGUUUAUUUUAUAACUCUUAUCAUUCCUGCUCAGAUUGAUCUGAAAUUUGGUGGUUGAUGUUUUCUAGCAUAUUGUACUGAUUUCUUAUUUAAAUUCUGACUUUACUUGGCCAUCUUAAUAGUUCCUUUGCUCCUUCCCUGCUUUCUCUUUAUUUUUUGGUCCUAGUUUAUCGCACUCCUUAAUCUGUCUCAGAUUUCUGAGAAAUUUUGACAGCUGACAGAUCUGGUCCCGAGGGUCAGUAAACCUGUAUGUCAGGCCCAUUGGAUCAGUUCACCUCAAUUUAUCAAAUUUCCCCCCUAUUCUCUCUAUCCUGAUAGUUUCAGCUUCUUAUUUUCUAAGCUCUGAAAUUUACUUCCUCGUUUGAUUCCAACUCAAUUCUGUAAAUUCCGUUAUCUGUUCUUCCAUUUUCUAAUAUUCGUCCAUGUUGGAGAUCCACUUUGCAGAUCCUUUCUCUUGAGCGCUAUACUGAGAGCUUGAGAGUGCAGGUUAGCACCAGGUGGAGUAGGGUCAGUCCAACAUUUGGCAUUUUUCUCACAAAGUGGCUGCCCUCAGACUCAAAUCUGGGUCUUCAUGCUGGUUGUCCAAGCUUUUUUACCCUUGCACCAAGUAAUACGACGGAAAAUGAGGAAAAAUUGCAAUCUGGCGGAUAUUGUUUGUCCCCUGGGUCCAGAAUUUUUAUAUUUUCCGAUUGUUCUCUUCCUUUGUUGAGGGCUUCGUCCAGUGGUCAUUGAGGUCUUCGUUGGUCCCACUAGAUUGUACUCUUUUUUUUAUUAUUUAUUUUUUAUUAUCUUUAACCUUAAUAAGAUUUGUUAUUCAUCAAGAAGGGGACAUGAGAAAAAAACUUGCAAAUCUAGUGCAUCUGAGGGAAGGUGUUUUGGAUGCCUGCUAAUGAAUCUGACCAUAUUUAUAUUUCGAGAGAGAAAGUUCCAAUGGGCUCAUAAUUUGCUUUUGUAGUUGGUUUGUUAUGCCACAAUAUUAUAUUGAACAAAAUCUAAAAUGAUAGUUAUAUGAAAACUCUGGCUUGCAGCUAGAAGCUUGUGAUGCUUGAUAAUUUUGUUAGCUUGAUAGCCUGUCAAUCUCUAAGGAGAUUGGUGAAGCAAGAGAAAGUCUUGAUUCAUCCUUCUUAAUUUGUGCAAGGUAUACCUUUAGAGGCUCUCUCUUUUCUCUGUUUUGGAUGUCCUAAUACAUUCUAUUCGUCGCCCUGCAUCUUUUACCCCCCCCCCCUUUUCUAGCAAUGGCAUAUGGUGGGACUAAAUUUGAUGCUGUUGAAUCUUUUUCUAUUUUCUUUAAGUUUAUUGAAAUUCUGGUUUCAGUUCCUGUUAUGGCUGUUUAGUUAGUGCCUUGCCAUUCACAUUUUCUAUCAUGAGAGCAUUUGUAUUUACUUAAUGAGAUAUUUGGGCUACAGAUGGAAUACCAAGGUCAACUGGGCAAGAGCCAGUCAUGUUAUUUUGGUGGUAAGCUUUGGUUGACAGGACAAAUGCAUAUGCAAUAUCUUGUGUUUGGGGCCAUUGGACCAAUUACAUUGGAGAAGAAGGUAAUAAUUGACCUCAUUUCUCAGAUUUGGAUGGUUAACCAUUGAAGUCACUGUUCCUGCUGAUCUUCGCUGUAGAUGUGAGAUCCAUUAAGUGGUGGGUCCUGAUCCUUGAACAUACGACACAUAGAAUUAUUGGUUGCCCUAGAACCAUCUCUAAAAACUAGCAAUUCCAUUAGUAAAGCUAUUGUUAUUUUUGUUGUUUGUUGUCGUGUUACUCUUGUUGUUAUUGUUGAUCUUCAUCAUCAUCAGCUUUUGCAUGUCACUGAAGCUAGGAGAAUAAAUUUCAUUAGAUGCUUACAAGACCAGCUGUGCUUCAUGGUGUUUGAGUAUCAGGGGACGAAGAAACCAAAGUUUAGAUAAGAUAAGAUGAUGAUCUAGAUUAGUGGAAAAACUAGGGUGAUAGAACAAGAAUUAAUGCACUAGGGGAUACUUGAAGAGUUGCACACAUAACAGUAUACGAGAAAGUGAUUUUAAUUCAUAUUAUGCUGUUACAAAUCCUUGCAUGCUCAAGAUUAAGAUUUUCCAUUUUCUUAUAUUUGCUUUUCUUGUGUUGGUACUGCCCUCCUGUAGAUCGGAAGUCAACUUCACUUCUUGAACGUUUUCCUUUUUCUUUCAAUAAAAGUGUAAGACCUAUAAUAGUGAAAUAAAUAUUGUUGAUGAGUAUAAUAAUGGAAUAAAAUAUUGUUAAUGAAUAUAAUAAUGAAAUAAAUAUUGUUUAAUUAUUCUGCUAUUGGAUUAGUUUAAUGGGGAAUCCAAUGUACCAGCUGGACCUCUAAUUAUUACAAAAUUAAAUGCAAAACUUAUAUAAACUCUUGGCUGUUUGGAUUCUUACAGUUCAAACUGAGCCUUAGUGGACCCAGUAUUCUUGUGGGCCGCUGCGUCCUUCUCUCUAUUUCAUUUUGGCUCAGCAGGCACCCACAACAUGGCAAAAGGUAUUGGCCUUACAAGUUGAUAAGAGUUCAAUACACAGCUGGUUACAAGGCUAAACCAUUAUUCCCCUUUCUCCCUGUGAAGCAUGAGAUUUCUUAGUAUGUUUCUUAGCCAUGGUUGAUGGUCUAGUUUUAAGCUCCAGGACUUGAAAGUAAUUGCUAAAGUAAAAAAUCAUUAAUGGUGUUUGCAUGAUUAUUCUUUGCUUGCAAUGUUUGAUUGUGUUUGCUGUGUUUAAAGACCUUCUGCAUAGGACCUGAAGCUUGGAUGAAUCUUGCAAUCUUGGUAAAGUGUAAUCUCGUGGAUGAUUUGUUGAAUGCAGACCAAUACCCGACUGUAAGUGUGCUUGCAGGAGCUACCUCAUGUGCAGGGUUUUAGUGCAUGGGAUCGGCAUCAGUAUUGGUCGCUGCUGAUAUCGAUACAGAUAGGACCAUAAUGGCUCUGAGUCGGGCGAAAUUUUAAAAGGUCCCUUUCUUACCAGUACCAUCAUUCUGUAUCAGUAACUGUAAAUCGUUCUGGUCCUUGUUUUGGACAUUGGAAUUGUACUCGUGUUGUAACCAAAACACUAAUAAGAACAAUAGAUUGUAAUUUCAAUUUUAA